GGGCGGGGAGGGGGGUGCAGGCUGGGAGGAGCCAUGGAGGCUGAUUCCUUCCCCUUCAUGGGUUCUCUUCUCUUCCUCCCCGGCAGCCCUGCCGUCGGCUCUGAGAGCCUGUAGUGUAUGAGGUUGCAUCUCAGAGUCCCGCUGCCCACUGGGCCCUCUCAGUGCAUUGGGUUUGGUGUCUCCUCUCGGGUGGGUGUGGGUUUGGUGUCUCCUCUCGGGUGGGUGUGGGUUGUGGGUUUGGUGUCUCCUCUCGGGUGGGUGUGGGUUUGGUGUCUCCUCUCGGGUGGGGUGUGGGUUUGGUGUCUCCUCUCAGGUGGGUGUGGGUUUGGUGUCUCCUCUCGGGUGGGGUGUGGGUUUGGUGUCUCCUCAGGUGGGUGUGGGUUUGGUGUCUCCUCUCGCGUGGGGUGUGGGUUUUGGUGUCUCCUCUUGGGUGGGGUGUGGGUUUGGUGUUUCCUCUUGGGUGGGUGUGGGUUUUGGUGUCUCCUCUCGGGUGGGUGUAGGUUGUGUGGGUUUUGGUGUCUCUUCUCGGGUGGGUAUGGGUUUGGUGUCUCCUCUCUCGUGGGGUAUGGGUUUGGUGUCUCCUCUCUGGUGGGGUAUAGGUUGGGUGUCUCCUCUCGGGUGGAUGUGGGUUGUGUGGGUUUUGGUGUCUCCUCUCCGGUGGGUUGUGGGUUUGGUGUUUCCUCUCAGGUGGGUGUGGGUUUGGUGUCUCCUCUCGGGUGGGGUGUGAGUUUGGUGUCUCCUCUCGGGUGGGGUGUGAGUUUGGUGUCUCCUCUCGGGUGGGUGUGGGUUUGAUGUCUCCUCUCUGGUGGGUGUGGGUUGUGUGGGUUUGGUAUCUCCUAUCGGGUGGGGGGUGGGUUUGGUGUCUCCUCUUGGGUGGGGUGUGGGUUUGAUGUCUCCUCUCGGGUGGGGUGUGAGUUUGGUGUCUCCUCUCGGGUGGGUGUGGGUUUGAUGUCUCCUCUCCGGUGGGUGUGGGUUGUGUGGGUUUGGUGUCUCCUAUCGGGUGGGGUGUGGGUUUGGUGUCUCCUCUCGGGUGGGGUGUGGGUUUGAUGUCUCCUCUCGGGUGGGUGUGGGUUGUGUGGGUUUGGUGUCUCCUCUCGGGUGGGUGUGGGUUUGAUGUCUCCUCUCCGGUGGGUGUGGGUUUGAUGUCUCCUCUCGGGUGGGGUGUGAGUUUGGUGUCUCCUCUCGGGUGGGUGUGGGUUUGAUGUCUCCUCUCCGGUGGGUGUGGGUUGUGUGGGUUUGGUGUCUCCUAUCGGGUGGGGUGUGGGUUUGGUGUCUCCUCUCGGGUGGGUGUGGGUUUGAUGGCUCCUCUCGGGUGGGUGUGGGUUGUGUGUUUGGUGUCUCCUAUUGGGUGGGGUGUGGGUUUGGUGUCUCCUCUCGGGUGGGGUGUGGGUUUGAUGUCUCCUCUUGGGUGGGGUGUGGGUUUGAUGUCUCCUCUCGGUGGGUGUGGGUUGUGUGGGUUUGGUGUCUCCUCUCGGGUGGGGUGUGGUUUGCUGUUUUUUGUGAACGUCUCCUGGGUCAUGGUGUGAAUGUCCCACUCUGCCUGAGGGGGAGAUUCGCCCAGCUCUCAUUUGCCCUGUUUUCUCCUGACCCUUUUCCUCCUUUCUGUGUCUUGGUUCUGUCCUCUUGGCUUCCUGCCUUCCCUAGGUUCCUUACUGCAUUUUCAGCGCCUCCCCUCCCUCGGACUGUUUGCAGUUUAUUCAUUUCUGAGAUAAUUUUGUCUCUUCCUUCCAUUACUUUCUUAAGUCCAGUCAACUCUUAUUUCCUUUUGGUGUUACAUUUGUAAUUUUAUGGUUUUUAUAAAAAUUUGUCUCCUAGUUUUUGAGGUUCUGAUUUGAGGUGAUGAUUUUCAUAUCCUUAAGUGCACACUUAAGCAGAUUUUCCUGUAUUGAGAGUGUUGUUAAUUUUCUUGUUGUUCCAGGGUAGGUUUUUCUCUGAUGUGUGUGGAGCCCCCAUUUUCUGACUCUUCUCUGACUUUCCCGUGGCUCUGGGUGGCUUUACCGCCUCUGUCCCUUUGCCCUGGUGGCCUUGGGGUAUUUGCCAGAUCUGUGGUUUCCUGGCGCCCUCUGCUGGCCGCAUGGGGAAGUCCAGGUCUUGAGCGGGUCCUUGCUGGUGUGCAGGACGGAAGUUGUCCUCCAGUUCUCCCGGCCCUUUCCUGCAGGACCCAGAACUUCCCCCUUUCCUUCUUUUCUGCCUCACCACCCAGUGGCCAAAGGGCUCCUCUCAGGACACGCUGUGUUGCCUUGACAACCCCUUCCCGUCUUGUGCUCAGUGGUCCUGCCCUGUGGUCUGCACUGACCUUCCUGGACACCUCUCAGGCCCUGGGACUUGGGGUGGCUUAGCCUUUCAGCAGUGGCUUCCCACGGACCCCUGUCCCACCCCGCCCCACCGCGGCCUUGCAGGGGAGAGACUGGGGGGUCAGGCUCAGGCGUGUGUUGACUCUGCGCCGACUUGCAGUGAUUUUGAAGUCUAGGCGCCCUCGUCCUGUGCAGACGGCGAUGCUGGUGUAAACCUGUGUUCCUUGCUUGUGCUGAACUGUGUUUGGAAGAGAGGCUGGGAGACAUCAGCUCGGCAGCCACGUUGUCUUCGGCCUCCCGGAAGUGAUGCUAACUUUCUAAGCUGUGUGUCUGAGUGUUUUUCGCUACUACUGCUGUUCUUCAAAACGUGCUGCCAGUGACCUGGCCUUGUGUGUGUGACACCCCGUAAAUGGUUAGGCACGGAGAGGGCACGUACGCGUUCGGGGCGGAGGUGGCUGGAGUGUGUGCGGCAUAGGCUAUUGUUACCCGCUGCCCGGGGCGGCUGUGGGCACAGCAUUCUCCACCCAUUGCUCGGCUGGGGCUCCGUGGCGGAAUAAAGGACGGACCAAGGGGCUCCUGCCCCAGGAGCAGACGCGCUCCUCCCGGACAGCCCCCAGGUGCUGACCGUGCGGGGCCUGACGUUCGGGUGGCACAGACCCUGCACCAGGCAGUUCCGCGGACGGCGACUCUGCAUUUGGCUUCGAUACUGAGUGUCUAUGGCACAUAUGCGGUGGAGAGACCUCCUCCUUUCAUUUGAUCCUUUUAAGAGCCCUGUGAUGGGGCGAGGGCUGUCUGCAGCGCCAUGUUUCAGAGGUGGAGACCUGCAAAGGGAGGGUUCAUGUGGGGUCGGGCCCCGGCUCAGUGGUCCCAGGCAGCUCGGGUGUCGGAACCCCCAGACAGUUCACGCGACAAAGAAUCACGCGGGUCAACCUCAGGGACCUCAUAUUUUGUUUAGAAAAUGAACGUGAGACAAGCCAUUCACUGCUGCUCUACAAAGCAUUCCUUAAGUGACACAGGAGGACGCCUGGGGACUUUUUAUAUAUUUGCAGAUUACGCCUUUUUGUAACAAGCAAAUGGGAUAUUGUUUAAAAAACAGCCACCUCUUUACAAUGGAACAGUUUUAUAUUCCUGUUUCUAAAUCAGCUCUUCAGUGUGAAAGAAAACACGUUUCUGUAACAGAGAGAACACAAAGGCCUGUGGAUACUCUUAAAGGACAACUAAAUCUUAACUCAUCUUGAUUGAGUGGCCUUCUUGCCAAACAAGCCAUAUAUAAAGACUGAUGGAAUCGUUAGCAAAUAAUUAGCUGCCCUCUGUCAACUCAUAGCAGUUUCUGCAUUAUUUGUGCAUUUUGGUUUAGUUCUACCUAACUUACUAUGUAGGUGUAUGUCUACAGCCGAUGACCUCAUUUCGUUUAUUUUAUUUUUGUAAUAGUCAGUUGGCAAAGCAAACUGAUUUUUUAGACUAUUUAUCUUCCUUCCCUUCCCCUCCCACCCCGCUCUCCUCUCUGCCCCCUGCCCUCCCCUCCUCUCCCUUCCCCUCCACUCCGCUGAGAAUCCUGGAGGAAUACACAAUUCAUCGUUGCACCCCCACCUCAGAGUGUAAUUGCAUUUCUGCUUGGUAGAGGCCGAGCCCAGCAAAGGUGGCUCCUUCUGAAUGUGUGGUCAGCAUCUGUACAAAUGCAUUUUAUUUGCUAUAGUUUGUAAAGCUGUAAAGUUAAAAGAGAUGAAAACCUUUUCAGCAUAAAUAUAUUUUACUUGCACUGUGUUUUUUAGCUAAAAGUGAAAACCUAGAUUAAAUAAAAUCAAAGUUGAGAAGAAUCAUCAAAAGACUGUUUCUCGGUGUGAAUCAAGUGUUGAAAAAUGGUUGGUGUAUUUUGUCAGUAAUUGUACAUAACUUUUGGCACAUGACAUAGAAAUGGCUAUGUAAACUAUAAUUAUUUUGCUAAGAGACUGUAUGCAAGCCUUGGGCCGACUUUACAGACGUCCAGAGCAAAGCCCCUUCUUUGUACCUAUUUUUUUAUUACAAAUAUACUAAUUGGUUCUUUCUAUUUU
rnacentral:lncRNA from 1 species